CCUACGGGAGGCAGCAGUGGGGAAUUUUGGACAAUGGGGGCAACCCUGAUCCAGCCAUGCCGCGUGAGUGAAGAAGGCCUUCGGGUUGUAAAGCUCUUUCGGCCGGGAAGAAAUCGUACGGGCUAAUACCCUGUGCGGAUGACGGUACCGGCAUAAGAAGCACCGGCUAACUACGUGCCAGCAGCCGCGGUAAUACGUAGGGUGCGAGCGUUAAUCGGAAUUACUGGGCGUAAAGCGUGCGCAGGCGGUUUUGUAAGACAGGCGUGAAAUCCCCGGGCUCAACCUGGGAACUGCGCUUGUGACUGCAAGGCUAGAGUAUGGCAGAGGGGGGUGGAAUUCCACGUGUAGCAGUGAAAUGCGUAGAGAUGUGGAGGAACACCAAUGGCGAAGGCAGCCCCCUGGGCCAAUACUGACGCUCAUGCACGAAAGCGUGGGUAGCAAACAGGAUUAGAUACCCUGGUAGUCCACGCCCUAAACGAUGUCAACUAGGUGUUGGGUGGGUAAAACCAUUUAGUACCGUAGCUAACGCGUGAAGUUGACCGCCUGGGGAGUACGGCCGCAAGGUUAAAACUCAAAGGAAUUGACGG
rnacentral:rRNA from 1 species